AACGCACAUUGCGCCCUUUGGCAUUCCGAAGGGCAUGCCUGUUCGAGCGUCAUUUCACCACUCAAGCCUCGCUUGGUAUUGGGCGCCGCGGCCUGGCCGCGCGCCUCAAAGUCUCCGGCUGAGCUGGCCGCCUCCGAGCGUUGUGAUUUCAUUAAUCGCUCCGGGGGUGUGGUCGGUUCGCGGCCGUUAAAUCUUCUCUAAGGUUGACCUCGGAUCAGGUAGGGAUACCCGCUGAACUUAA
rnacentral:misc_RNA from 1 species